rnacentral:rRNA from 1 species
GACGAACGCUGGCGGCGUGCCUAAUACAUGCAAGUCGAACGAGAGCGAUCGGUGCUUGCACUGGUCAAUCUAGUGGCGAACGGGUGAGUAACACGUGGGUAACCUGCCCAUCAGAGGGGGAUAACAUUCGGAAACGAAUGCUAAAACCGCAUAGGUCUUCGAACCGCAUGGUUUGAAGAGGAAAAGAGGCGCAAGCUUCUACUGAUGGAUGGACCCGCGGUGCAUUAGCUAGUUGGUGAGGUAACGGCUCACCAAGGCCGUGAUGCAUAGCCGACCUGAGAGGGUGAUCGGCCACAUUGGGACUGAGACACGGCCCAAACUCCUACGGGAGGCAGCAGUAGGGAAUCUUCCGCAAUGGACGCAAGUCUGACGGAGCAACGCCGCGUGAGUGAAGAAGGUUUUCGGAUCGUAAAAACUCUGUUGUUAGAGAAAGAAACAAGUGCUAGAGUAAACUGUAAG